rnacentral:lncRNA from 12 species
CUUGAUUAAUUCAGCAAAUCUUUAUUGAGCCUCUCCUGAUCGGCAAUAUUCUGCUAGACUCUAGAGAUGUGGAUGUAAAUGAGAAAGACAGAAGCAAUGUCCUUCUAGUACUUCAAGGACAUGAGACAGAAACAAGCACCUGAAUCAACCGAUAUAUGACCAAAAUCAAUGAAGAAUUUCUAUAGAGUUGUACGUGGGUUAAUGUGAUAGAAAGUAGUUGGUGGUUAUUUUCAGUAGAUGGAGUAGUCAGAGAAGGCCUCUGCAAAGGUCAUAUGCGGUCUGAGAAGGGAAGAAACUGAAACAGAGGGACAAGACAGCCACUAAGAAGACGGGAAGACUGUUCCAGGGUAUACAAAGACCCUGUUACAUGAAUGGUGGUAUGGCUCAAGGAGCUGAGGGUAGAUAAUGUACUAAAAUAAGAUGGGGAGCAGGAGGUGAGCUAAAUAACGUUUGCCUUAAGACAUGCUAAUAAUAUCUUUGGUGUUUACUCAGAUUAGAACUAUGAAUACUAAUGACCGACGCUAAUAUAUCCAAAAAUGCUUUGUUGUAUAGGGAUCAGAACCACAGGUGAGAACAGAUGUAUGAACCUGUAAAAGACAGAGAAACCAUUUCAAACUGGCAGGUGGUUCUCUGGGGCCUCCCACAUCCAGCCGCCUGAGGUUCCAGAUUCCGGGGGCCAGAGGAGCCCCUCCUCUGCGACUCACGCUACCUGCACCUGAGAUGCCUCUACUCACGCCGGUGCAUUGGAGCGCUACAGGUAAUUGACCAU